rnacentral:rRNA from 1 species
UACGGAGGGUGCGAGCGUUAUCCGGAAUCACUGGGUUUAAAGGGUGCGUAGGCGGCGAGGUAAGUCAGUUGUGAAAUUCCCCGGCUUAACCGGAGGGACUGCGAUUGAUACUGCUUUGCUUGAAACAGGUUGAGGUAAGCGGAAUGUGGCAUGUAGCGGUGAAAUGCAUAGAUAUGCCAUAGAACACCGAUUGCGAAGGCAGCUUGCUGGGCCUUGUUUGACGCUGAGGCACGAAAGCGUGGGGAGCAAACAGG